rnacentral:rRNA from 1 species
UACAGAGGUGGCAAGCGUUGUUCGGACUCAUUGGGUGUAAAGGGUCUGUAGGUGGUCAAGCAAGUCUGACGUGAAAUCCCAUGGCUCAACCGUGGAACUGCGUUGGAAACUGCCUGACUUGAGUACCGCAGAGGUGAAGGGAAUUCCCGGUGUAAGGGUGAAAUCUGUAGAUAUCGGGAGGAACACCAGUGGCGAAGGCGCUUCACUGGGCGGUUACUGACACUGAGAGACGAAAGCAAGGGGAGCAAACAGG